GAUAGCUGGUUUUCCGCGAAACCUAUAUAAGUAGGUAAUGUAAAUAACAUCAUAGCAGGUACAGAACUGUGAUCUCGGACAAAUUAUGUUGUUUUCUUAACGAUAGCAACAUGGUUUUGUAUACAUCGGGGAAUCGUGAAGAUUUUAUCGGCGAGAAUUUGCUCUCGGAAGGGCAAUGAUGGAUUUUGCAUAAUCGGACAUAGUACGAUAAGGUUGUAUGUCUAAAGGGAAACAGCCCAGAACAAGAGUUAAAGGUUCCAAAAUUAUUGUUAAGUGAAAAUAAGGAAGUUUUCUUCAAAUACAACCAGGAAAUAGGCUUAGAAGCGGCCAUUUUUUAAAGACCUCGUAACAGAGCACUGGUU
rnacentral:rRNA from 1 species